UACGUAGGGGGCAAGCGUUAUCCGGAAUUACUGGGUGUAAAGGGUGAGUAGGCGGCAUGGUAAGCCAGAUGUGAAAGCCUUGGGCUUAACCCGGGGAUUGCAUUUGGAACUAUCAAGCUAGAGUACAGGAGAGGAAAGCGGAAUUCCUAGUGUAGCGGUGAAAUGCGUAGAUAUUAGGAAGAACACCAGUGGCGAAGGCGGCUUUCUGGACUGAAACUGACGCUGAGGCACGAAAGCGUGGGGAGCGAACAGG
rnacentral:rRNA from 1 species